GUUACAGUGGCCGAGUGGUUAAGGCGACGCCCUGCUAUCAGCAGUUUAGGCGUUGGGUUUUACCUGCGCAGGUUCGAAUCCUGUCUGUGACG
rfam:Debaryomyces hansenii strain CBS767 chromosome G complete sequence.